GCUGUAUUAAUUAUUCACUGACUUUUCGUUUCUGCGAGCCACUGUAUUUUUUAUCGGCAGUCAGGAAAAACAACACAGAAAGCGCUCGGAUUUACGCUCCGAGCGGGAUCUAAACUAUCGUUCUUUACGCUAGGGCAGUAGAAAAGUAUCUCUCAAAGAAGGCAGUGAGUGGUAACCGUGUGGUACGUUGUAACUGUAUAAAGGUUGGUUGGUUGGAAGAAACUCACAGUCACUGUGCAAGUCUGCUGCUGUUCAGCGCUGCGUGAUCCGCUUUUGUUUAAGGGAAUCUUUGUCAAGGCCGUCUGCGUCUUAAACUCGGCCGUAAAAACAUGUAACCUACAAAAGAUUAUUAUUGUGCCAGCAAGGGUGGAAGAUCAUUCUAGAUUGGUUCUUCGAAACCCUAAAAUGCACCAAUACUAUGAUAAAGGCCAGACACCUGAUUCUUUGAUGUGUUCAAGGAAGUGUUAAAUUGGAAGUUCCUCUGCGCGACCAGCAAUCACGGAAGGGGCAGAACUUACUCAUAAAG